rnacentral:rRNA from 1 species
CUGCUGCCUCCCGUAGGAGUCUGGUCCGUGUCUCAGUACCAGUGUGGGGGACCUUCCUCUCAGAACCCCUACGCAUCGUCGCCUCGGUGGGCCGUUACCCCGCCGACUAGCUAAUGCGCGCAUGGCCAUCCC